rnacentral:lncRNA from 1 species
UGACCCCACGGCGCUUCUGACCUUCAAGGCCUGGCCGCCAUACGCCCGCCCGCCAACCGCUUCCAACCAACCCUGCAAGCACAACCUCUUAGGGCGUUCCAACGCGGCGCCCCCUA